rnacentral:rRNA from 1 species
UACGAAGGGGGCGAGCGUUGUUCGGAUUUACUGGGCGUAAAGAGCUCGUAGGCGGCUUGGUAAGUCGGAUGUGAAACCUCCAGGCUCAACCUGGAGUCGCCAUCCGAUACUGCUAUGGCUAGAGUCCGGUAGGGGCCCACGGAAUUCCUGGUGUAGCGGUGAAAUGCGUAGAUAUGCGGAGGAACACCGAUGGCGAAGGCAAUCCCCUGGACCUGUACUGACGCUCAUGCACGAAAGCGUGGGGAGCAAACAGG